rnacentral:lncRNA from 1 species
GCCAUUAACUUUAAAGCUUAUUUUUUAAUCCACAUACGAAAUCUAGGAAUGUAGAGGUUGACACCAUCUCUAUGCAAACACACAGUUUCUAUCCAGAGUCCUCUAUAACACACAUGGGGUGAUGAAACCACUUCUUAGCAUGUAUUCUCUAGGGGGAGGAAUCGGGGUUCUCACUUUGUACAUUUUCAGAAGAAUAUGAAAAGCAACUUUAGCGAGGGGGGAACUCUGAAUUCACACUUACGUAAGCCUUUAAUUAGCCUAAGCAAAAUGCAUUGCCUACACAGUCAAAUCAUUUUCCCCAUCACUUAAUAGGAUAAAAUGCGGAAGAACAAAUCCGGGAGUCAGUGGCAACCCUCUGCCUCCUCAUUCAAUAAGUUCUUCUGCCUCAGUUUAUAGAAACUCAGUUAUGAGCUCUUAGAGCAAAGAAGAGACAAUUAUGCAUAAGUUGGAUAGGCUGUACCAUGUAUUUGCUGGAAUGUAAAAAUGC